GCUUAAGGGAGAUUAAGUGAAGGAAAAGCCCAAAUUCAAAAUUCCAUAGCAAAAUCCAAAGCCCCAAAUCAAAACCCUAAUUCAAGGUGGGGUUCGAUUCAAAGUGUGGUUUGGUUCACUUAAAAGAUUAAAAGGUAGCUCUGGUUCAAGGUGGAAUUGGGCUUUAGGCAAGUUCUCCUGUGCGCGAUUUUGUACAUCAUCAAAUCCCGACACCACCUUUCUCCUCUCCUCGUGAUUCUCUCUAAGCGGCGAUGGGCGGUAGCAUCUCCGGUGGGUCCUGUGAGCAGCGACAACAUCUUUACGGUGACGUCUCCGGUGGAGUGGUUCUACUCCAUGCAACGAGGCUCCCUUCAUCUCCAUCCCAAAGCGGUGACGACAUAGUGAGCUCUGAUCUAGGGCUUUCACCAGAGUGAUUCUUCUCUAGCGAUUCCCUUGCUUCUGUUCCUCCCUCAGACGAAACUCCUUGUAGACGUGGUUGCGAACACAAAGAGUUUUCAAUAGAGGAGGGAAUAGUCGGUUGAUUCAUCUCUAUCUCUAGCGAGCUUCUUCUCAAACUUCAUCACUGAGCAUUAUUGUGACUCCUUACGGAGGUGGUCACAAUUUCAUAUAAUCUCAAAUUCUAGCUGACGGUUUCAUAGCUCAACCUCAGUUCUUUACCAAUUAAAAGUUAUUCCUCUGUUGUUAGAACUAGUUUUGGUUUUAGUCGUGCUGGAAUUCUGUGUGGUUCCGUUGAUACUGUAAUUUUUGUUGUUUCCAUGUUUCAUCCAAGUUAUCAACUUUAUGCUAUUGGGAGCUGUAAAUCAGAGGUUUUAUCAUCGGUGUAGCUUCCCACAAGCUCUGGUGGUUCCAGAUCAGAAUCCUUCGUGUGACGGCUAAGGUGUUGUUGAUAAGGAUGGAGGUGUAGGGACUUGUGUUGUAGAGACAAAGCCCCAAGAAUCGUUUCCUUUGAUUACACUACCAUCUAAGCCAGUCGAGCUUGUUGUUGCACUUAUUGACUAUGGAAGUGUAAGGAUGAUCCAAGAAUCACUUCUUUCGAUUGCAUGACCACCAAAGCUAGAUCCUUUAUCGGUUUAAGAGAAUGUCACAUUCAAUAUUCUAGACUCUCCAGGCAAUCCACCCCUCCCCUCUUGUCGAUCCCACUGCACCAUCACUUCCUGCACCAACAGUUUGUACUCUUUGCUUUCUAAUUUCUAUGUUUAGUGUUUAUUAUAUUUUAAGUUGUUAUAUAUUGUUUCCUUAUAGUCAUAAUGUUCUAACUAAUUUACAAAUGAGAAUGAGGUUAUCUAGAGAAUCAAAUUAUCUAAGAAUAAUCUAUAAUUAUUUAAUGAGGUAAUUCUACUUUUCUAUUUGUAUGUCUUUUUUUAUUUUUCUUAAAAGAUUGUUUGAGACUGCUUAUAAAUUGCUACAUUUUCUAUUUCUAUUAUCGAAAAAAUGAUGCUGAGGAAAUUUGUCUAGAUGCUUUCGAAGCCUUAAUCUGAACCUAAUUGAUUUGAAAGUAUGCUUGACCUCUUUCAUUUUUAUUUUCCUUCCAAAUCAAAUUUACUCUUUUAUGUUAUAUUAAUAAGCAAACUAUUCUUUUAAUGACUAGAUAAUUAUGUUUAGUAGCACAUAUUCUAUCAUGACUUAUGUUUCACUCAUUAGUAUCAUGCAGGAUACCAAGAGCAAAUAUUGUAUUAGUCACAACAACCAAGAGCAAAUGUUAUAUUCAGAACCAUCUUUUGCUUGUCGAAGGAAGCUAUUGAAGACAAAUCAUAAAGGAUGGAGAAGCAUUCGAAGGGCGUAAGGCUGAUGGAGGAGGCUAGAAGGCAAGGUCAUGAGAAGACCUAACAACAAGGACAAGGCUGAAGGAAGCAUCUUGAAUGCAAGAAGUGAAAGAUGGGGGAGCAUCCAAGGGACGCAAGGCUGAUGGAAGAUGACUAGAAGGCAAGGUCGAAGUUGUGUGGGUGAGGACGAGUGCACGAGAGAUUGUACUUGUUGUAAAACCCUAGGUUUAGGAUUUUACCAGUCGAUUGGUAUUUGGACCAGUCGACUGGUUUCUGUGCCCGACAGCUGUGAAAACCAGUCAACUGGUACUGUAGCCAAUCGACUGGUACUAUAACAGUUGACUAGUAAAGAGUUGUUAGCAGAAUCGCAAAUUCUCUAGAGUGUCGUUGGCCAGCACUAG